rnacentral:rRNA from 1 species
UAGGGAAUCUUCCGCAAUGGGCGAAAGCCUGACGGAGCAACGCCGCGUGAGUGAUGAAGGUCUUCGGAUCGUAAAACUCUGUUAUUAGGGAAGAACAAAUGUGUAAGUAACUAUGCACGUCUUGCCGGUACCUAAUCAGAAAGCCACGGCUAACUACGUGCCAGCAGCCGCGGUAAUACGUAGGUGGCAAGCGUUAUCCGGAAUUAUUGGGCGUAAAGCGCGCGUAGGCGGUUUUGUAAGUCUGAUGUGAAAGCCCACGGCUCAACCGUGGGGGUUCAUUGGAAACUGGAAAACUUGAGUGCAGAAGAGGAAAGUGGAAUUCCAUGUGUAGCGGUGAAAUGCGCAGAGAUAUGGAGGAACACCAGUGGCGAAGGCGACUUUCUGGUCUGUAACUGACGCUGAUGUGCGAAAGCGUGGGGAUCAAACAGG